CUACGGGGGGCACCAGUGAGGAAUUUUGCGCAAUGGGGGGAACCCUGACGCAGCAACGCCGCGUGAGUGAUGAAGGCUUUCGGGUCGUAAAGCUCUGUCAAGUGGGAAGAACCUAUGCAGUGUUAAUAUCACUGUAUACUGACGGUACCACUGAAGGAAGCACCGGCUAACUCCGUGCCAGCAGCCGCGGUAAUACGGGGGGUGCAAGCGUUAUUCGGAAUCAUUGGGCGUAAAGGGCACGUAGGCGGCUUGGUAAGUCAGAUGUGAAAGCCCGGGGCUUAACCCCGGAAGUGCAUUUGAUACUGUCAGGCUUGAGUAUGGGAGAGGGAAGUGGAAUUCCUGGUGUAGAGGUGAAAUUCGUAGAUAUCAGGAGGAACACCGGUGGCGAAGGCGACUUCCUGGACCAAUACUGACGCUGAGGUGCGAAGGCGUGGGUAGCAAACAGGAUUAGAUACCCUAGUAGUC
rnacentral:rRNA from 1 species